rnacentral:lncRNA from 1 species
AUGAAAUAGAAAACACCUUUUCGGGUAAUCAAGCAAUUAGUUGAAAGCUGGUUACAUAAUUAUCUUUUACUUGUGUAUAUAAAGACAUUCUCCACCGAAUACCAGUUACUUUACUGUAACCCUAUAGAUCAUCAUGUGGUUAUUAUUAAUAAUGCUCAGUUGUGUUAUUGGUUGUGUGAAGAGUCAAGGUAUGUACAAUAUUUUUCAUAGAGGAUACUUAUAUUAAUUUAUAAUUUAUUUAUAUUGAUAAAGACACUUUAUUUAUCUUUUAUUAACAUCUAACCAUUUUCUCUGUUACGAUAUAUAAUUCAGACAUUUGUAAACAUAACACAACCAAUAACACAACUGAACAUUGACCACAUUAUAACAUGUUGGGUAGCAGUAAAUUAACUGUUGUUCGGUGGAAAAUGUCUUAAUAUACACAAACGUUAAAGCUAAGGAAAGGAUUUGCAGUUUGCACUUUUGGAAUAAUUGAUCCGACAACUUUAUAUUCUUAUCUGUUUUGAUCAUUUUGAGCAUGAAAACAACUUGGUGUGUUCUUAUAUUCGCACUGACAAUGUUAUCUGUUAUGUCUGUUAGUUUUGUUCACAAUAAAAGAGAAUUGCAUGCGACUGUCAUACAAGCAAUAGGGUUGUUUAGCUGUAAAACCAUUUUCUACAUAAAAAAAAUGCCUGUACCAAAUCAGGAAAAUUGCAGUUGUUAUCGAUUCGUUUUAUAGAAGAACCUACCUGCCCGAUCGGAAUACCAUUACCUAACAUCAAUUGUGGUCGGGGACCAAGACGUCAAAACUGCCCGCCGUUGUUUUACUGUAACAUUCACCCAUCGGAUAGGUUUGCUGUGUGUUGCAUGAAGGUCAGUACUAAACUCUUUUCAUUCAGGAAUUAAUUUGAAAGUUUUAAUGUAUUUUGGUUUUUAAUUCGUCCAGUGGCAACUUUUUGAAUAAAAGUUUCAGGAACCGUAAUAAAUCCUUUCAAUAAAAUAAUUUGAAAUUUAAAAAUAUUUUUGCAGCUGUUGAUUUUUAGCUAUUUUGCAAUCCUUUCCAACUUGUAAAGUAAAUGUCCAUGCAAAACAAUAUUUAUUGUAUCCAAUAAAACAACAACGACUUUUUUUUAAAGCAUUGAAACAGAUUAACCAGAUCACUUUACCAAAAUCAAUGUGUCGUAUAUCUAUUCUAGAUUGGGUGACAUUUUAAAGUUGUUUGAAAACUGCCCCAAAAUAUGCACGACAUGAGGAAAAUACAAAAUCGAUAUGUUUAUUAGAUCAGAAAUAAAUGGCUAAUUGAUUUGAACACAACGCAGGAAAAAAGUUGAAAUUUAAAAAUUCGAGAUAGAAAUGAUUUGAUUUAUACUUUAUUAACUACUUUUCUAUGGUUGUACGUAUAUAAAUACAAUGAGUUUAGCAAAUGACAUGAGACGUGCAUCCCUCCAAGAAAACAAACGAAACAAGAUAAUCAGUGAUUUUGUAACCUCAAACUAUUUAGAAGUUUUACUAAAAUACCAUGUGUUGGUUGUUGUCUGUCAUGUCAAUAGCUUAAAAUCGUGUUGUUCAUCAUGUUUGAUUUUUUUCAGAUUAUUUUUUUUCAGGGUCUUUAAUGUAAUGUAGCUUCUGAUAUUUACAUUGUUUUGAAUAUUUUACUGAAACUAAUAUAAUGUUCACAUAAUAUUUCCAGAUAGCAACAACAACUACAUAUAGAUAGUCCGCUAACCUGGUAUGACAAAGAUACAUCGUAUUGUUUGUACAAAGAAAUGAUGUUCUCACAGAUGUAUGGAUCCUACUAACUGACCAUAAUUUUGACAGACAUAUAUAAACUAUUUAAUAAACUGUACUUUCUUAAAUAAUUUGAAAAACGUGUUCUUCUUGGCGUCGCC